CAGGACACCACCGGCAUAUACCGCCCGACCCUCCCCCCUCCUCCCACCGUACCCCAGCAGCCCGGAAGAUCUAUAAACCUCGGCUCCCUCCAUGUGUCCCAUUACAACUAUAAAUCCAGGGGAAUUUGUGCUCUGGUGAAGCGGCAUUCUCCAUCUCUACGCAGAGUCAUCCUGGUCAUGGCAUUUGAUGACAUCUGGACAAUAUUUACAGCUGAAAUUCACAAUUUGAAGAAAAGAGAACCUGAUGACUCUGUGGACACUGACGUCUUACAGAUUCAUCUGCAAUGAAGGAUGUCUGUGGAGUCAUGUCAGCAGCAGGUCAACCUUCAUCCGCUCCUCCAUUCUUCCCUGGAUAUUGUGCAGAUGAACAAAGUAUUAGAAAUGUUCUUGCCGUCUGGCUGCACAUGCUCAGUAGGAGGAGGAAAUGAUUGACUGAUGUGAUUUUGGAUCUGACCAGUUUGAUCCCUGAAAGCCCGGGACCCAACGUUUUUACCACCACAUGUUUCUGCAUACGUCGACUGUUCAGGGUGGUAUGUGUUUCCAGACGUUUCUCUUCUAAGUGCAAGUGAAGGGGCUGCGACCUUUCUGUUGGUCUCAGCUGAUUCAAACGUCACUGUGAUCAAUACCACAUUAAUGCAUUCUCCCUGUGCUCUACCCUCUCCCUGCACGGCAAGGUUACUUGUCUCUUUUGAUCACUUCAGCAUUAAAAUCUCAUUUAUCUCUUUGUUAAUGGAGAGUUUGCCAUUUUCUCCUCUUUGUGACAGAUAUUGAAUCAAAUACAGUCACAAAUCAGCCUGCCAGAGAUUCAACAUUUACAAAAGUUGACAGAAAAGUUCCAGCUCUCAUGUCAAACUGACAUUCCCACUCUUUUCAGUGUUUUCAAUGACAUGGAGUGUUGGGUUUAAGGAGGUUUUCCAAGCUGCUUUGCUGCUUCUUUUCUCAGAUUCCCUGGCGAAGACAAUUGUUUAUUUACAGCUUUUUCUAAAUGUGUCAGGAAGACAAUAUUUGCUGUUUGAAAAAUUAAUUAUCACAAAUGGCCAGCUUGAGAAGUCAGGGCUUGUUCAGGGAGCUAGGAGAGGGGGAGCCCACGCUAUUAUUGGAACAGGACUGGACACUGAUAUCCAUCAGUGUUUUCAGUUUGAAUUUGUUUCAGCAGGCAGGAAUUUAUAAGAUUGUCACAAAGGCCUAAUUUUGUCUGUCCCACAAACAACUGGACAGGCAGGAAAUGAUUCCAAAUAUUGUCCUAGAAGUUAAGACCAAAAUGUGAUGCUGGGGAAAAAAUGCAUUCAUUGUCUUCACAAAAUAUUUGAUUUGACGAAAAAAAUGUUUUCUCAAGUAUACUUUUGCCAUGUGUUUCUUUAGCUGGAGUAGCUGGCACUAAAUCUUUCUAAUUCUACUACAAACAAUUUUUCACACUUAAUUGUUAUUUUAGUUCAAGGAGAAAUUAAUUGACGAAGGCUGUUACGUGACCAUUUUAAUCUCACAAAGUUUAUAUUCAUGUUGAGGAGAAUCUGACCUUGCUGUGACUGUCUUUGUUGUUGUCUGCUGUCAUUCACAGAGGCUUUCGUUGAGGUAAAUAAGACAAAUGCACUUUUUUCUGUCCCACCAUUGGAGCAGCAUAACAACAGAGGUGGACUUAUAGCAGUUUUUUUAUUGGAAA